rnacentral:rRNA from 1 species
UACGUAUGGUGCAAGCGUUAUCCGGAUUUACUGGGUGUAAAGGGAGCGUAGACGGCGUAUCAAGUCUGAUGUGAAAGGCAUGGGCUCAACCCGUGGACUGCAUUGGAAACUGGUAUGCUUGAGUGCCGGAGGGGUAAGCGGAAUUCCUAGUGUAGCGGUGAAAUGCGUAGAUAUUAGGAGGAACAUCGGUGGCGAAGGCGGCUUACUGGACGGUAACUGACGUUGAGGCACGAAAGCGUGGGGAUCGAACAGG